GUGAUCCUUAGUUCCCUUCAGUAGCACAUAAACUAAAAUUGAGACCAUACAGAGAAGAUCAGCAUGGCCCACGUGCAAGGAUGACACCCAAAUUCAUGAAGCAUGCCAUACGAGA
ensembl:snRNA U6 U6 spliceosomal RNA